UACGUAGGGGGCAAGCGUUGUCCGGAAUUAUUGGGCGUAAAGAGCUCGUAGGCGGUUUGUCGCGUCUGCUGUGAAAACUCGGGGCUUAACUCCGGGCCUGCAGUGGGUACGGGCAGACUAGAGUGUGGUAGGGGAGACUGGAAUUCCUGGUGUAGCGGUGAAAUGCGCAGAUAUCAGGAGGAACACCGAUGGCGAAGGCAGGUCUCUGGGCCAUAACUGACGCUGAGAAGCGAAAGCAUGGGGAGCGAACAGG
rnacentral:rRNA from 1 species